AGUAAUGUAUCGGAACGUGCCCAGUCGUGGGGGGUAACUGCUCGAAAGAGCAGCUAAUACCGCAUACGACCUGAGGGUGAAAGCGGGGGAUCGCAAGACCUCGCGCGAUUGGAGCGGCCGAUAUCAGAUUAGGUAGUUGGUGAGGUAAAGGCUCACCAAGGCGACGAUCGGUAGCUGGUCUGAGAGGACGACCAGCCACACUGGGACUGAGACACGGCCCAG
rnacentral:rRNA from 1 species